AAAUAACACAUCCUUUCACGAAUAGUGAAAUGACAUAUCUCUUUACAAAAGACAUAUUCUUUAAUAAAGGAUUCAUCUCUUUGUGAAGUAGUGUAUCUUUUCGUAAAGAGACACAUCUCUUCGCAUUAAAUAAAAAGACAUAUCUUUUCAUCAGAAUAACUACUAUAAAAAAGAGACAGUCAUUCAUUAAUUUACUUAUUCAAUUUAUUUACUCACUUCCUCUAUUACAAUAUACACUAACAUGGCAGACUAUCAAAUUUAACUGCUACCAUUUGUUAUGCCCCGAAACCCGCCUAUUUGGUCGGAUUCGAGCGCGCCGACAGACUGCCAAACGGACAGAGUUUCCCCUGUACGUCCAAGGCGUCAAAACUAUUUAUUACAAAAGGUUCCAACCAGGAACAGAUUUAAUACAUUGAUUGCAUAAGAAGGAUACCAAAAACAUAACCGCUAAACUAUUACAAGCAUUCAGCUCAUUUAUAUCACAUUUACAUCAUUUUACAUUCCACUUCUAAAUACAAUCCUCAUUACAGUUAUUACAAUUUUGUUCUUUGUUUACUAUUCUUUCCGGUACUCUAAGCUAUGCUGACUCGGGUACUGCUAUCUCUGGUCUCAAUGGUAGGGCGCUAUCUACUUAGCUGCGCCCUUUCCUCGCGCAGCCGCGCUGCUC
rnacentral:lncRNA from 1 species